GACGAGCGCUGGCGGCGUGCUUAACACAUGCAAGUCGAGCGGAAAGGCCUUUCGGGGUACUCGAGCGGCGAACGGGUGAGUAACACGUGAGUAAUCUGCCUUGCACUCUGGGAUAGCCUUGGGAAACUGAGAUUAAUACCGGAUAUGAGCGCCUCGGGCAUGUGGGGUGUUGGAAAGUUUUUUCGGUGCAAGAUGUGCUCGCGGCCUAUCAGCUUGUUGGUGAGAUAAUGGCUCACCAAGGCCUCGACGGGUAGCCGGCCUGAGAGGGUGACCGGCCACAUUGGGACUGAGAUACGGCCCAGACUCCUACGGGAGGCAGCAGUGGGGAAUAUUGCACAAUGGGCGCAAGCCUGAUGCAGCAACGCCGCGUGCGGGACGACGGCCUUCGGGUUGUAAACCGCUUUCAGCUUCGACGAAGCGCAAGUGACGGUAGAAGCAGAAGAAGGACCGGCCAACUACGUGCCAGCAGCCGCAGUAA
rnacentral:rRNA from 1 species